CUACAUGAUGUUAAUGAAUCUGAAUUUUUAAGUGAUGCUGAGACCAUAUGCGAUGCUGUUUGCUUGGUGUAUGAUGUCACUAAUCCUAAAUCCUUUGAAUAUUGCGCUAGAAUUUUUAAGCAACACUUCGUGGACAGCAGAAUACCUUGCUUAGUGGUAGCUGCAAAGUCAGACUUACAUGAAGUUAAACAAGAAUAUAGCAUUUCCCCUGCUGACUUCUGUAAGAAACACAAAAUGCCUCCACCACAAGCCUUUACUUGUAACACUGUUGAUAUACCGAGUAAGGAUAUCUUUGUUAAACUGACAACAAUGGCCAUGUAUCCCCAUGCCCGAUUACGCUGUAUGUGCGCCUGCAACAGGUGUACAUUUUGCAUCUGUCAGAACUUCCUCAACUCAGACUUGCUGCAAUCUGUAAAGAACAAACUCUUCACUGCAGUUCUUAACAGGUCCUUAACUUUAUUUACUAGGUACCAGGCGUGCUUUUUAAAAUACUUC